rnacentral:piRNA from 1 species
UGAAGUCAUCUUUAGGUUGAUCUGCAG